GACGAACGCUGGCGGCGUGCUUAACACAUGCAAGUCGAACGGAACUCUUUGGAUCAAGGCUUCGGCCAAGUGAAUUUGAGUUUAGUGGCGGACGGGUGAGUAACGCGUGAGGAACCUGCCUUUCAGAGGGGGACAACAGUUGGAAACGACUGCUAAUACCGCAUAACGUAUAGAGAUCGCAUGGUCUUUAUACCAAAGAUUUUAUCGCUGAAAGAUGGCCUCGCGUCUGAUUAGCUAGUUGGUGAGGUAACGGCCCACCAAGGCGACGAUCAGUAGCCGGACUGAGAGGUUGACCGGCCACAUUGGGACUGAGAUACGGCCCAGACUCCUACGGGAGGCAGCAGUGGGGAAUAUUGGGCAAUGGGCGCAAGCCUGACCCAGCAACGCCGCGUGAAGGAAGAAGGCUUCGGGUUGUAAACUUCUUUUGUCUAGGGAAGAGUAGAAGACUGUACCUGGCGAAUAAGCCACGGCUAACUACGUG
rnacentral:rRNA from 1 species